AGUAAUUUUCUUCUAUGCUUCAACAUCAAUAAACUUUGUAUUUUUUGUGCUAGAGUAAUAUUUUUGUGAUAGAGUUCUAUAUCUUCUAUUGAAUAUGCCGAGUUAAAGAAGCAAAAAGUUUAUGAAGCAAGACUGGAAUUGAUGAGGCAGAAGCUUUGGUAUUACCAAAAAUAUCAUGGCCCAAAAGUUCACAAGCUCUUAGAUCAAAUAAGCUCAUAUUCAAUUACUAUUAUCAAGGAGUUAGGAAAAAUCAUUGUUCUUAACCGAUGUUGCUCAUAUGAUAUCAUCGUAGAUAGUCCCCCUAAAUGGUUCCAUCAAGAAUAAUUUGAUGGACUAGCAGAGGAGGAGGGAAAUUUUUUUUUUUUUUUCGAAAAGCUUCCAAAGAUGCUAUAAGUUUGUAAAAGCUAUAGAAGAAAAAAUCAGCACAAUUAUUUAUUCAAAGAACUAAAAGAAAAUAGUUAUUUCACUAGGUAUGAGCCAUUGACAACUAAAAUAGUUGAUGGUUUAUAUGAUUUAUGCUUUAAGACAUUACAUUUUCUUUAUUUUUGUUUUUGUUUUUGUGUGCGUGUGUGUAAGGAUGUUAACAUGUGCUUGAAUGUUGAUUUGUGUUACUUAAGCAUAUAUGCUUAAGUAGAACAAAAAUGUUGAUUGUGUUGUUGUAUCAA